rnacentral:rRNA from 1 species
AUUGAACGCUGGCGGCAUGCUUUACACAUGCAAGUCGAACGGUAACAGCACUUCGGUGGCUGACGAGUGGCGAACGGGUGAGUAAUACAUCGGAACGUGCCUAGUAGUGGGGGAUAACUACUCGAAAGAGUAGCUAAUACCGCAUGAGAUCUAAGGAUGAAAGCAGGGGACCUUCGGGCCUUGCGCUACUAGAGCGGCUGAUGGCAGAUUAGGUAGUUGGUGGGAUAAAAGCUUACCAAGCCGACGAUCUGUAGCUGGUCUGAGAGGACGACCAGCCACACUGGGACUGAGACACGGCCCAGACUCCUACGGGAGGCAGCAGUGGGGAAUUUUGGACAAUGGGCGCAAGCCUGAUCCAGCAAUGCCGCGUGCAGGAUGAAGGCCUUCGGGUUGUAAACUGCUUUUGUACGGAACGAAAAGUCCUCUUCUAAUACAGGAGGGUCAUGACGGUACCGUAAGAAUAAGCACCGGCUAACUACGUG